rnacentral:rRNA from 1 species
GAUGAACGCUGGCGGCGUGCCUAAUACAUGCAAGUCGAGCGAACAGACGAGGAGCUUGCUCCUCUGACGUUAGCGGCGGACGGGUGAGUAACACGUGGAUAACCUACCUAUAAGACUGGGAUAACUUCGGGAAACCGGAGCUAAUACCGGAUCAUAUAUUGAACCGCAUGGUUCAAUAGUGAAAGACGGUUUUGCUGUCACUUAUAGAUGGAUCCGCGCCGCAUUAGCUAGUUGGUAAGGUAACGGCUUACCAAGGCAACGAUGCGUAGCCGACCUGAGAGGGUGAUCAGCCACACUGGAACUGAGACACGGUCCAGACUCCUACGGGAGGCAGCAGUAGGGAAUCUUCCGCAAUGGGCGAAAGCUUGACGGAGCAACGCCGCGUGAGUGAUGAAGGUCUUCGGAUCGUAAAACUCUGUUAUUAGGGAAGAACAAAUGUGUAAGUAACUAUGCACGUCUUGACGGUACCUAAUCAGAAAGCCACGGCUAACUACGUG